rnacentral:rRNA from 1 species
GAGCGCAGGCGGAAGAAUAAGUCUGAUGUGAAAGCCCUCGGCUUAACCGAGGAACUGCAUCGGAAACUGUUUUUCUUGAGUGCAGAAGAGGAGAGUGGAACUCCAUGUGUAGCGGUGGAAUGCGUAGAUAUAUGGAAGAACACCAGUGGCGAAGGCGGCUCUCUGGUCUGCAACUGACGCUGAGGCUCGAAAGCAUGGGUAGCGAACAGGAUUAGAUACCCUGGUAGUCCAUGCCGUAAACGAUGAGUGCUAAGUGUUGGGAGGUUUCCGCCUCUCAGUGCUGCAGCUAACGCAUUAAGCACUCCGCCUGGGGAGUACGACCGCAAGGUUGAAACUCAAAGGAAUUGACGGGGGCCCGCACAAGCGGUGGAGCAUGUGGUUUAAUUCGAAGCAACGCGAAGAACCUUACCAGGUCUUGACAUCUAGUGCAAUCCGUAGAGAUACGGAGUUCCCUUCGGGGACACUAAGACAGGUGGUGCAUGGCUGUCGUCA